rnacentral:rRNA from 1 species
CCCUUAGAUGUCCUGGGCCGCACGCGCGCUACACUGAUGCAUUCAACGAGUUUUACCUUGGCCGAGAGGCCUGGGCAAUCUUUUAAACCUGCAUCGUGAUAGGGAUAGAUUAUUGCAAUUAUUAAUCUUGAACGAGGAAUUCCUAGUAAACGCAAAUCAUCAAUUUGCAUUGAUUACGUCCCUGCCCUUUGUACACACCGCCCGUCGCUCCUACCGAUUGGGUGUGCUGGUGAAAUGUUCGGAUCGGCCGUUUGUCGCGGUUUCCGCGGCUCGUGGCUGAGAAGUUCAUUAAACCCUCCCACCUAGAGGAAGGAGAAGUCGUAACA